AGGUUUGGGCUGAGGAUGGUACUGGUGAUUGCCAUUGUGUUCAAACCUUAGGUGAAUCUAGCAACAGUCUCUCUUCCACUGUCUGGGCACUUUCUUUUAACGAUGAAGGAGAUAGAAUGGUUACCUGUAGGUAAGUGAACAGAUGUGGGAAUGAUUUUUCCGUGAUGAUUUUACCCUAAAAAUAUGAGAAACAAAUGUUGGAAGGGUGAAAUUGGGCAAUGACCAUACACCUUGUUAUCAUUGAGAGUUCUUGUGGAUAGCAUGGAUAACAUAGACAUUUUACGAGGAAAGGGGUGC